GUGUCAGCAGCCGCGGUAAUACGUAGGGCGCAAGCGUUGUCCGGAAUUAUUGGGCGUAAAGAGCUCGUAGGCGGCUUGUUGCGUCGGUUGUGAAAGCCCGGGGCUUAACCCCGGGUCUGCAGUCGAUACGGGCAGGCUAGAGUGUGGUAGGGGAGAUCGGAAUUCCUGGUGUAGCGGUGAAAUGCGCAGAUAUCAGGAGGAACACCGGUGGCGAAGGCGGAUCUCUGGGCCAUUACUGACGCUGAGGAGCGAAAGCGUGGGGAGCGAACAGGAUUAGAAACCCGAGUAGUCC
rnacentral:rRNA from 1 species